rnacentral:rRNA from 1 species
UACGGGAGGUGCGAGCGUUGUUCGGAAUCACUGGGCGUAAAGCGCGUGUAGGCGGCCUGCUAAGUCCUGAUGUGAAAGCCCGAGGCUCACCCUCGGAAGUGCAUUGGGAAACUGGCAGACUGGAGUCCCGGAGAGGAGGGUGGAAUUCCUGGUGUAGCGGGUGAAAUGCGUAGAUAUCAGGAGGAACACCGGGUGGCGAAGGCGGCCCUCUGGACGGUGACUGACGCUGGAGACGCGAAAGCGUGGGGAGCAAACAGG